CUGUUAGUAUAUUCUGUCCAUAUAUUAAUAUCAGCAGAACUUCUGUAGUUUUAAAUAAAUGAAAAAAUUCAUUUCUCUUGUCAAUGGUUUGAUGGUUAACUAUUUGGAUUCAUUCAACAGAUAGUAUAACAGAGCCAAAAUUGCAAGUCUUGUGGCCUGGGCAUGUACAAUAGAAAAAGCUUUGACAUCUAACGACAUCCAGAAACAAGAAAUUCAGCUUCUUGUGCCCAUGAGAUAUAGUCGGGAGUGGCAAUGGGCGCCUUGCUGGAUUAGAAGAACAGGAGCUGUGAGAAAGCUGCACUAAUAGAGUCUUAUAAAUUUCCAGGAUAGUAGACAGCCUGGAAAAAAGCAACGAAACAAAACAAACAAAACCCCACAUACUACAGAUUAGGAAAAGCAGAGGGAAGUGACCUGAUAGGAGAUUUUGAUUGUUACAGAUUAAUUAUGUAAGCAAAAUUUAAAAUAUGGAACAACUUUAUAUUUUAAACUUUGUCCAGUGUGUAAGGGCAAAGGAGACUAAAACCAUUGAUUUAGGUGAAAUUAAACACAAAACCAAAGGAUAAAAUCGGUUCUGAUUUUAUUUGUCCUCUGGCAGCAACAUCUAACUCCUUGCUUUACAGUGGGUGCCAUAGGAGUUAUAGGAGCCUAGCACAGGAGCAGGAUGGAGGAGAGUUAGUUACUUAAGGAAGGUAUUAAAGGAAUCACUACGUGAAUGGAAGGUUGAUGUCGCAUACAUUGCAUACCAACAUGAAAACACUACAAAUCAUGGAGAUGUCUAUCUGCAAACAUCAAGAAGAUGCCCCAGAACUUUGCGAGGGCCUUAUAGACAGUAUUACUAUUCUACAGUUUAUAGUUUGGAAAAAUUAUUCAGUUUUGUCUUCCCUGCUACUUUCUCACCUUCUGCAAACAUAUAGUCAUUAAAAAACAGUCUUAUUGCUAUCAUUUAUUUUUCCUAAGGGAUUAAAUGGGCCAAGUGAAUUAGAACAGGCCAUUCAGAGUUGUUGAAAUGUGAGAUUAUUUCACUUUCUUUCUGACAUUGUAGAUCCCUUACCUCUGUAUGAACUGACCUGUGACCCUGAAUGAAAAAGACAUCACUCAAAAUAGGCACAGAGUAAUUCUAAGUGUAAUGUAGUUAUAAAAAAUAUCUUCAAAAACAUGUUAAGUUAAAAAAAUAGAUUGGACUCUUGAUAUAGUAGAUUUACUUGCUUUUGUGUUUUAUUCAAUUACAUUCUGUUAAUUUAAGGCCAUGACUCAUAUGACAAAUCUGUAAACUUUGCCAUAGUCUGAAUGUGUGUGCUAUCCACAAUUUAUAUGUUAAAAUUGUAGUCCCCAAGAUGACGAUAUCAGGAGAGGGGGCGUUUGGGAGAUGAUUAGGUCAUGAGGGCAGACCUUUGGUAAUGGGAUUAGUGUCCUUAUAAACGAAGCUCAAGAGAGACCCAUCUUUCCUUCUUCCAUAUGAAGACAAAGUCAAGAAGGUGCUGUCAACUAACCAGGAAGUUGACUCUCACCAGACACAGAAUCUGCCAACAACUUGAUCUUGGACUUCCUAGCCUCUAGACUGUCAGAGAUAAAUUUCUGUUGUUUAUAAGCCACCCACUUUAUGGUAUUUUGUUAUAGUAGUCCAAACUUACUUACUAAAACAAAGACUUGUUAAAGAGGAAAAUAUUUUGAGGAAAAUCUCAAAUAAACAUAUUUUCAAAGAAAAUGUAAUAUAAGCAACUUCAGCAAAGUCUCAGGAUACAAAAUCAAUAUGCAAAAAUCACAGGCAUUCCUAUACACCCAAUAACAGACAAACAGGAAGCCUAAUCAUGAGUGAACUCCCAUUCACAAUUGCUACAAAGAGAAUAAAAUACCUAGGGAUACAACUUACAAGGGAUGUGAAGGACCUCCUUAAGGAGAACUACAAACCACUACUAAAGGAAAUAAGAGAGGACACAAAUAAAUUGAAAAACAUUUCAUGUUCAUGGAUAGGAAGAAUCAAUAUUGUGAAAAUGGCCAUACUGCCCAAAGUAAUUUGUAGAUUCAAUGCUAUCCCCAUCAAGCUACCAUUGACUUUCUUCACAAAAUUAGAAAAAACAACUUUAAAUUUCAUAUGGAACCAAAAAGGAGCAUGCAUAGCCAACACAAUCCUAAGGAAAAAGAACAAAGCUGGAGGCAUCAUGCUACCUGACUUUAAUACUACAAGGCUACAAUAACGAAAAGAGCAUGGUACUGGUACCAAAACAGAUACAUAGACUAAUGGAACAGAACAGAGGCCUCAGAAAUAACACCACACAUCUACAACCGUCUGAUUUUUGACAAACCUGACAAAAACAAGCAAUGGGAAAGGAUUCCCUAUUUAAUAAAUGGUGUUGGGAAAAUUGGCUAGCCAUAUGCAGAAAACUGAAACUGGACCCCUUACAUACACCUUACAAAAAAUUAACUCAUGAUGGAUUAAAGACUUAAAUGUUAGACCUAAAACCAUAAAAACCCUAGAAGAAAACCUAAGCAAUACCAUUCUGUCAAUAGGUAUGGGCAAAUACCUCAUGACUAAAACACCAAAAGCAAUGGCAACAAAAGCCAGAAUUGACAAAUGGAAUCUAAUUAAACUAAAGAGCUUCAGCACAACAACAACAACAAACUAUCAUCAGAGUGAACAGAAUUGGAGAAAAAUUGUGCAAUCUAUCCACCUGACAAAGAGCCAAUAUCCAGAAUCUACAAAGAACUUAAACAAAUUUACAAGAAAAAACAAACAACCCCAUCAAAAUGUGGGCAAAGGAUAUGAACAACUUCUCAAAAGAAGACAUUUAUGCAGCCAACAAACAUAUGAAAAAAUGCUCAUCAUCACUGGUCAUUAGAGAAACACAAAUCAAAACCACAAUGAGAUACCAUCUCAUGCCAGUUAGAAUGGCGAUCAUUAAACAUUCAGGAAACAACAGAUGCUGGAGAGGAUGUGGAGAAAUAGGAACGCUUUUACACGGUUGGUGGGAGUGUAAAUUAGUUCAAUCAUUGUGGA